GUAACAACAUUAUCCACCCAUCUCCAAUUUAUUUAUUACUGAUUCUUGAUCAAUAGAUAUCAUCAAUAAAAACAUGAAACGCUAAAAUUUGAUAUAUACUUACCACGGUCACAUAGGUACUUUAUGCAAUUUACACUGACGGACAGAUUAAACAAAAUAAGACGAAGCUCUACUUAAUGAUAAGGAUAAAUUCACUCCUCCACCAAUUAUAUUAAGCGAAAACAACAUCCACCAAAUCAAAUUAGCUCAACCAUCUGCAAAAAGAAA
rnacentral:sRNA from 1 species